UUUUAUUGAGUCUAAAACGUUCGUAGCCGGUCCGGUAAAUCCCUGGGUAAAUCGGGAAGCUCAACUUCCCGAAUUCCGGGGAGACUGCCGGACUUGGGACCGGGAGAGGCUAGAGGUACUUCUGGGGUAGGGGUAAAAUCCUGUAAUCCUGGAAGGACCACCGGUGGCGAAGGCGUCUAGCUAGAACGGAUCCGACGGUGAGGGACGAAGCCCUGGGUCGCAAACGGGAUUAGAUACCCCGGUAGUCCAGGGUGUAAACGCUGCAGACUUGGUGUUGGGGGCCCUUCGGGGGCGUCCAGUGCCGGAGAGAAGUUGUUAAGUCUGCUACUUGGGGAGUACGUCCGCAAGGAUGAAACUUAAAGGAAUUGGCGGGGGAGCAC
rnacentral:rRNA from 1 species